GAAAACAUUGGAUACUUAUAAUAAUGAAUUUUUAUCACUAAUUGUGCUAUUUCCUGGAUUCUCUUGACAAUUUUCAACCAGAUGAAAUCAAAUCUCACAUUUCUUGUGUCUUUCAACAUUUGCGCACAAAUAAUGCGAAAACUAAGGAAGUCGCGUGGAGAACUGUUAAGUGUCCUCGUCAAUAAUCAAAAUCAGUAAAAUGUGGAUUCUAUGUUAUGAGGAUGAUGAAAGACUUCGUGACAAAUGAGUUUUCAAUGCGAAGACUAACUAGUAAAUGUGGCGAGAAGAACUCUUACACAAAGGAUGAGAUCAAUGAAGUACGUGAAGAAUGGGCACAUUGCGUUAUGGAUUUGAUGAGUACUACAUAGGUCUACUCACUUUUGUUAAUUUAGACUUUUAACGAGAUAUACUUAGAAUAACAUAGACUUUCUUUGAGAUACACACAUUUUUAUUGUCUAACUAUAGUUUACAAUGCUUAUAUGAGUAAUUUUGUAAUUAACUUAAGACUCAUCAUUAUUUUGGAUAUUUAAUUCA